rnacentral:rRNA from 1 species
CCAGACUCCUACGGGAGGCAGCAGUGGGGAAUAUUGGGCAAUGGGCACAAGCCUGACCCAGCAACGCCGCGUGAAGGAAGAAGGCUUUCGGGUUGUAAACUUCUUUUAUCAGGGACGAAGCAAGUGACGGUACCUGAUGAAUAAGCCACGGCUAACUACGUGCCAGCAGCCGCGGUAAUACGUAGGUGGCAAGCGUUAUCCGGAUUUACUGGGUGUAAAGGGCGUGUAGGCGGGAAAGCAAGUCAGAUGUGAAAACCAUGGGCUCAACCUGUGGCCUGCAUUUGAAACUGUUUUUCUUGAGUACUGGAGAGGCAGACGGAAUUCCUAGUGUAGCGGUGAAAUGCGUAGAUAUUAGGAGGAACACCAGUGGCGAAGGCGGCCUGCUGGACGAUGACUGACGUUGAGGCUCGAAAGCGUGGGGAGCAAACAGGAUUAGAUACCCCAGUACG